rnacentral:rRNA from 1 species
GACGAACGCUGGCGGCGUGCUUAACACAUGCAAGUCGAACGGAAAGGCCCUUCGGGGUACUCGAGUGGCGAACGGGUGAGUAACACGUGGGUGAUCUGCCCUGCACUUUGGGAUAAGCCUGGGAAACUGGGUCUAAUACCGAAUAGGACCACGCGCUUCAUGGUGUGUGGUGGAAAGCUUUUGCGGUGUGGGAUGGGCCCGCGGCCUAUCAGCUUGUUGGUGGGGUAAUGGCCUACCAAGGCGACGACGGGUAGCCGGCCUGAGAGGGUGACCGGCCACACUGGGACUGAGAUACGGCCCAGACUCCUACGGGAGGCAGCGGUGGGGAAUAUUGCACAAUGGGCGCAAGCCUGGUGCAGCGACGCCGCGUGGGGGAUGACGGCCUUCGGGUUGUAAACCUCUUUCAAUAGGGACGAAGCGCAAGUGACGGUACCUAUAGAAGAAGCACCGGCCAACUACGUG